CCUUUGAAAUUCAACAUCUGCUUCUGGGUAGUUGUUUAAAUACAUUUCUGUUUGCAGGUUGAACAAGCCCACCUGACCAAGAGAGGGAAGCACGCUAACUGUUUUCAGUUUGGACACUCUUGGGGGCUUUUUAGUAAUUGCAUGUGUUUCUGAGCAAGUGAGUGUCUUUUGUGGGUACCAGACAACAGGAUUGCUCCUCUCAACUAGGGACAGUCUGAAGAAUUUUGGUGUGCAAAUUCAUCAAGCUCACCCCAUGGAAAGAGGAAGCUCCGCUGUUUCAGUUUGGACACUCUUGGGGUUUGUUGGUUGCUGCAGCACUUGGAUUGUAUUUUGGUGAUUGUUUGUGUAUGUCAAUAUAGCCAUGGGAAGUAAGAAUUUGAUAAGCUGAUAAUCUUAUG
rnacentral:lncRNA from 10 species